rnacentral:rRNA from 1 species
AAAAGCUUUCUUUAAUUGAAUAAUUGAAUUUAAUUUUUUAGUGCAAAAGCAAAAAUAAAAAUUAGGGACAAGAAGACCCUAUGAAUUUUUUAUUAAAUUUUAUAAAACUUUAUAUAAAAUUUAAUUUAAUUGGGGUGAUGGAAAAAGAAUAAAUAUCUUUUUUUUUAAAAAAAUUGGUUCCGUUUUUAGCGAUUAAAUGAAAAAAAUACUCUAGGGAUAACAGCGUAAUAAUUUUGGAUAGUUCAUAUAGAUAAAAUAGUUUGCGACCUCGAUGUUGGAUUAGGAUUCUUUUUUGGUGAAGAAGUUAAAAAAAGAAGUUUGUUCAACUUAUAAUUUCCUACUUGAUCUGAGUUCAGACCGG